rnacentral:misc_RNA from 1 species
GAUGAAGAACGUAGCGAAAUGCGAUAAGUAAUGUGAAUUGCAGAAUUCAGUGAAUCAUCGAAUCUUUGAACGCACCUUGCGCUCCUUGGUAUUCCGAGGAGCAUGCCUGUUUGAGUGUCAUUAAUAUAUCAACCUUCUCUUUUUUGAGUUGUUUGGAUGUGGGGGUUUGCUGGCCUCUUAAAUGAUUCAGCUCCCCUGAAAUGCAUUAGCAGAACAACCUGUUCAUUAGCGUGAUAAUUAUCUAUGCUAUUGAAUGUGAGGGCAGUUCAGCUUUCUAACCGUCCUUGGACAAUUCAUCAUUAAUGUGACCUCAAAUCAGGUAGGACUACCCGCUGAACUUAAGCAUAUCAAUAAGCUGAGGA